rnacentral:rRNA from 1 species
ACGCGAGGGGCUUUCGGGUCCCUUGAGUGGCGCACGGGUGAGUAGCGCGUGGGAACCCGCCUUCUUGUGGGGGAUAACCGAGGGAAACUUCGGCUAAUACCGCAUGCGCCCCGGGGCAACCCGGGGGAAAGAUUUAUCGCAGGAAGAGGGGCCCGCGUCCGAUUAGGUAGUUGGCGGGGUAACGGCCCACCAAGCCAUCGAUCGGUAGCUGGUCUGAGAGGAUGAUCAGCCACACUGGGACUGAGACACGGCCCAGACUCCUACGGGAGGCAGCAGUGGGGAAUAUUGGACAAUGGGCGCAAGCCUGAUCCAGCAAUGCCGCGUGAGUGAUGAAGGCCUUAGGGUUGUAAAGCUCUUUCGGCGGGGACGAUGAUGACGGUACCCGCAGAAGAAGCCCCGGCUAACUUCGUGCCAGCAGCCGCGGUAAUACGAAGGGGGCGAGCGUUGUUCGGAAUUACUGGGCGUAAAGGGCGCGCAGGCGGUCCUGUCAGUCGAGUGUGAAAGCCCCGGGCUCAACCUGGGAAAGGCGCUCGGGACGGCGGGACUUGAGAUCGGGAGAGGAGCGUGGAAUUCCCAGUGUAGAGGUGAAAUUCGUAGAUAUUGGGAAGAACACCGGUGGCGAAGGCGGCGCUCUGGACCGAUACUGACGCUGAGGCGCGAAAGCGUGGGGAGCAAACAGGA